GGGAUAUUGAUGAAAGCCAUUGACCAUAAGGCACUCUCUCUGAAAAUUUUACAAAUGUGUCAAAUCUUUAAUUUGCAGUGAAACCCUAAUUGGAUCUAGACAAAGGAGUCUCCAUCGCUGGUUUAUCUUCGGCAAAUUUUAUAGUAGAUCAAAUGAUGGCGUUCUUGGAGGAAGAAUCUGCGGUGAACCAUUUGGAUGGACCAUUUUGUGUUGGCGACAAUGAUUGUCGUGGGAAGAGGAAGGAAGUGAUGCAUUCGGUCCUAGUGGUAAUGACUUUGAGCAUGGAGGUUUUGGGGCAGAUUCGGAAGCACAUGCUUAUUUCAGGGACAAUUUCUAUGACAACUGGGAAGAAAGAGCUGUUGAUGGUAUUGCCGAGCUUGGCUGUAUUAAUUUCAAACACAUCACUACAAGUGAGAUUAUGAUGUUGCCAUUUUUCGGAUCGAUCAGUGUUGCAUUCUCGUUUUACAGUUUGCAUGCAAAAAUGAAGGGUGUUGUUGUGUGGAAGAAUAAGAUUUGGCGUAGAGGAUGGAAAGGAAGUAUGAAGUGAAAGGAAUACAAGAAGUUGAAGGAACUGUAAAGUUGUCAGCCUUGACCUCUUUGCACUCAAUCGAUCAUAACUUGAGCUACAAAAAUCUAAAUGAGGCGGUUUUAGUUGUGUUGGAAAGCUAACUUCCGGGGUUUCGAAAUGAUAUAUAAUUCGUCAUAGUGGCCAUAUAGCUAGGCGACGCGCACACGUGCAUCACGCGCAUGCGUGCAUCUGCGAAAUUUUAGACGUACCAGAGCUGUUUCUGGCCCAGUUUCAAGCUCGAAAAACACAGAUUAGAGGCUGCAGAGUGGAGGAAUCAAAGGACAACUUUCAUUCACAUAAUUUUAUGUUUUAGAUGUAGUUUCUAGAGAGAGAGAGGCUCUCUCCUCUCUCUAAGUUUUAGGAUUUAGGAUUUCUCUUAGUUUUAGGUUUAUUUCUUCCCAAUUCCACGUUCAAUGUUCCUUUA